GCCUGGGCGGGGGUCCAGCAGCAGGAGGCCCCCGAGCACGGCCACGCGGCCAGAGGGCAGAGUGCCCCCCACCUGUCCCAAAUCCCGACUAUGAGCCCAUCCGGAAAGGCCAGCGGGAGGUGUAUGCCGGACUGGAGCCC